rnacentral:rRNA from 1 species
UACGAAGGGGGCUAGCGUUGUUCGGAAUUAGUGGGCGUAAAGCGCACGUAGGCGGACAUUUAAGUCAGGGGUGAAAUCCCAGAGCUCAACUCUGGAACUGCCUUUGAUACUGGGUGUCUUGAGUAUGGAAGAGGUGAGUGGAAUUCCGAGUGUAGAGGUGAAAUUCGUAGAUAUUCGGAGGAACACCAGUGGCGAAGGCGGCUCACUGGUCCAUUACUGACGCUGAGGUGCGAAAGCGUGGGGAGCAAACAGG